AACCUAGUUUUCACAAACCAAAA
rnacentral:snRNA from 1 species